rnacentral:rRNA from 1 species
GACGAACGCUGGCGGCGUGCUUAACACAUGCAAGUCGAACGAAGUGGCGCACGGGUGAGUAACGCGUAAUCAACCUGCACUUCAGAGGGGGAUAACAGUUGGAAACGACUGCUCAUACCGCAUACUGAAGGGGGGGAUUGCGUCUGAUUGGCUAGUUGGAGGGGUUACGGCCCACCACGGCGAUGAGCAGUAGCCGGUCUUGGAGGAUGAACGGCCCCAUUGGGACUGAGACACGGCCCAGACUCCUACGGGAGGCAGCAGUGGGGAGACGUCCGCAAUGGACGAAAGUCUGACGGGGCAACGCCGCGGGAGUAAGGACGGCCUUCGGGUUGUAAAGCUCUGUUAAUCGGGACGCGGUACCGGAAUAGAAAGCCACGGCUAACUACGUGCCAGCAGCCGCGGUAAUAC